CGGCCCAGACUCCUACGGGAGGCAGCAGUGGGGAAUAUUGGGCAAUGGGCGCAAGCCUGACCCAGCAACGCCGCGUGAAGGAAGAAGGCUUUCGGGUUGUAAACUUCUUUUAAGAGGGAAGAGCAGAAGACGGUACCUCUAGAAUAAGCCACGGCUAACUACGUGCCAGCAGCCGCGGUAAUACGUAGGUGGCAAGCGUUGUCCGGAUUUACUGGGUGUAAAGGGCGUGCAGCCGGGUCUGCAAGUCAGAUGUGAAAUCCAUGGGCUCAACCCAUGAACUGCAUUUGAAACUGUAGAUCUUGAGUGUCGGAGGGGCAAUCGGAAUUCCUAGUGUAGCGGUGAAAUGCGUAGAUAUUAGGAGGAACACCAGUGGCGAAGGCGGAUUGCUGGACGAUAACUGACGGUGAGGCGCGAAAGUGUGGGGAGCAAACAGGAUUAGAUACCCUGGUAGUCCACACUGUAAACGAUGAAUACUAGGUGUGCGGGGACUGACCCCCUGCGUGCCGCAGUAAACACAAUAAGUAUUCCACCUGGGGAGUACGAUCGCAAGGUUGAAACUCAAAGGAAUUGACGGGGGCCCGCACAAGCGGUGGAUUAUGUGGUUUAAUUCGAAGCAACGCGAAGAACCUUACCAGGUCUUGACAUCCUGCUAACGAAGUAGAGAUACAUUAGGUGCCCUUCGGGGAAAGCAGAGACAGGUGGUGCAUGGUUGUCGUCAGCUCGUGUCGUGAGAUGUUGGGUUAAGUCCCGCAACGAGCGCAACCC
rnacentral:rRNA from 1 species